GAGAGAAAAAGAAAGACAUUGCCUUGAUGAAUGUGGACAACUACGUAAAAAUAAUUGGAUAUGCUGAUAUACGCUACAAUUGGCUAGGACAAAAAUAACUUACAAACUGUAGAAAGCCAUCAAGGAACCAAAACUUACCUAGAAACAGAAAAAAACAAAAAAACAUUACAACAUAUAGAAAAUUAUUAACAACAAAAAGAGGAAGAAUUUUUUUUUUUCCAAAAUUCAAGAAAACAUGAGAAAAGGUCAACCACGGAUAAAAAGUAAACGGUUUACGAUAACGACACUAAAAGGAGAUGACUCCAUUAAAUAAUAACAUGGGAAAUGGAAGUUAUCUCCCUUACUCCAUAAAUUCAGAGUGACAAGCUUCAACCUGCGAAACUGAGGAGCAAAGUUCACCGUUAAGCAGAAGAACAACAUUAAUGGAAGAGAAAUGAUGGAAAAUCAUCCCUGUGUCACAGGUUCAAAUCCAGUUAUAACAUGUAGGCUAUUGCCGAACGGAGCACGAAACGGAAUUCAUCAUCGAAGCUCUACACAAACAAACAAUGAGAAGAAUGGUCAGCGUCGCAUAUAAGAAUUAUGGUUAGCGAAGUAUUCCAGGUUUUAAAUUAUUAGAUAUUCAAAGUAAUGAAGAGAGGAAAUAUGUACAGAAUUCUUGGAGACAUAAAAUAUAUGCUCUCGAAUUCAUGAUGGAAAAGGAGCAAGUUCUAAAGGGAAACACCAGAAACCUCGCGUAACAUCAACCAAUCUUUUGACCAGGAGACCAUCAACGCACAUUUAGGUUCAAGAAUUUCAUGGUAGAGUUGAAAGCUUUGACAAAGAGGAAUGUACCAGAUGACCUUCCGAAAAUGACAAUAACCGGUGGAAGGCCGAUUUUGAAUCAAACCCGCGUAUAAAUGCUAAAGAAUUUACGAGAGAAUUUAGGUAGGCACGGCAACCUUCUGGAGAAGCGGGCCGCAUGAGACAUUGCUCAUCAUCAAGCCGGCCCUACUACUAAAAAUUUCAAGGUAAUUUUUCAUUGGUAUGACAUUCAGAAAGUCCCGCGGACCGCAGUUUGCCAAUGACUGAACUAAACCUUGAUAUUAUAUGGUUGUUCGAUAUUUGUAUUAUAAUGGAAAAUCAUAAAAGCUCAAUAAAUGUGAUAUAGUAGUUGAGCUAAUAUAAAUUUAUAAAUAAAUAUAUGGAAACUCGUU
rnacentral:lncRNA from 1 species